AACAACAAAAAUGAAAACAGCAAAAAACACACCAAAAAAUAAAUAAAUAAAAAAAUGCCAACCACACAAAUAAAUAAAGAAAUAAAUAAAUAAAGAACCAUCGUCUAGUCUAAGUGUAAACAAAACCACGUGACCCGAGCGACCACCACCACCACCACCAACGCUGCUGCCGCCAUCACCCAGCCAAUACUGCGAGUAAUUCCCUUUAAUCCGCCCGCAUCCGAUAUUACACCGAUAAAAUCCUCGUGAACGCCGCGCCGAUAGAUGAAGGAGGCUUUCAACUUCCAUUUCAACCCGAGAGGAGGCCGGAUAACCCAAGAUCUGAAACAGUUUGAAGCAGUAAGUGAACCACACAAACGAAGCUUCAUAAUAAUAAGAAGAAUAAGAAGAAAAAAGAAGAAGGAGAAGAAUAAGAAGAAUGAGAAGAAUAAGAGAAAGAAGGAAUAAUAAGAAAACAACAACAAUAACAACGACGACAAGAGAGAGAGAGAGAGAGAGAGAGAGAGAGAGAGAGAGAUGAGAAGAGAGAGAGAGAGAGAGAGAGAGAGAGAGAGAGAGAAGCAAUAACUGAACAAAUCGAAAUUUCAUAACAACAACAACAAUAACAACAACAACUACUACUACUACAACAACAAGAGGAAGAAAGAAAGAAAGAAAGAAAAGAGAGACGAAAAAUAACAAAGAAAACGAAGAAAAAAAAAAGAAAAAAUUAAGUUUCAAUCUAACAUUCGAAGCUUCACAACACCAAACAAAACCAAAUCCUUUAAAAUCCAACCAAACCUUCACUAAUUCCUAUCCCAUCACAUCCACGCCUUUCCAAACACCACAUUUCUUUCUAAAAACACAAAAAAAAUAAAUAAUAGUAACAGUAGCAGCAGCAGUAAUAGUAGUAGUAGUGAUAGUAAUAGUUAAAAUUUACCUACGCAUCCUAGUCUCUUAUUUUCUAUACCAAUAUGGCGAAGAGGAAGGAAGGACAGGGAAGGAAGGAACUAGGGAGAAGAGAGAAGAGGAAGAGGAGGAGGAGAGAAGAGAAAAAAAAAAAACAUGGAAAGAUGGAAGAAGAGGAGGAGGAGAAAAUAAGAAGAGAAGAGGAAGAACUUGUAUGAAAAGAUCGAAGAAGAAGAUGAUUUGAGAAGAUGGAUAUUUGAAGCGAAAUUUUUCUUAUUUUCAAAACGGUGAUGCGUCUCUCCCAGGAUGCCGGCAGGUAACCAGGGGGAUGUCCUUCACUCGCAGCCCUCCUCCAGGACCGUUUACCCUGUGUGAUGGCGAGUGUUAGAGAGGCAGUUUGUGUGAGGCUGUGAUAAGAGAAGAGAAGAAGAGGCAGUUUGUGUGAGGCUGUGAUAAGUGAGAAGAGAAAAAGAAAGAGAAGAGAAGAGAAAAAGAAAGAAAAAAAGAGAUAACCCCUCUGCUCGCUCUCUCUCUGUCCUCCCUCCCUCCCUCUCGGUCCACAGCAUGUUUACGAACCCAGUCACUCCCCACAGCCUCUGCAGAAAUGUACUAUCUGUGGAAAUAAAGUUAAUGACAGCAA